rnacentral:rRNA from 1 species
GUUGAACGCUGGCGGCAUGCUUUACACAUGCAAGUCGAACGGUAACAGGCCGCAAGGUGCUGACGAGUGGCGAACGGGUGAGUAAUGUAUCGGAACGUGCCCAGUCGUGGGGGAUAACGCAGCGAAAGCUGCGCUAAUACCGCAUACGAUCUAUGGAUGAAAGCGGGGGGACCGUAAGGCCUCGCGCGAUUGGAGCGGCCGAUAUCAGAUUAGGUAGUCGGUGGGGUAAAGGCUCACCAAGCCAACGAUCUGUAGCUGGUCUGAGAGGGCGACCAGCCACACUGGGACUGAGACACGGCCCAGACUCCUACGGGAGGCAGCAGUGGGGAAUUUUUGGACAAUGGGCGCAAGCCUGAUCCAGCAAAUGCCGCGUGCAGG